rnacentral:rRNA from 1 species
AUUGAACGCUGGCGGUAGGCUUAACACAUGCAAGUCGUGCGAGAAAGUAUCUUCGGAUAUGAGUAGAGCGGCGGACGGGUGAGUAACGCGUAGGAAUCUACCUAGUAGAAGGGGAUAGCCCGGGGAAACUCGGAUUAAUACCGUAUACCUCCUUCGGGAGAAAGAAGGCCUCUCUUUGAAGCUUUCGCUAUUAGAUGAGCCUGCGUAAGAUUAGCUUGUUGGUGAGGUAAAAGCUCACCAAGGCGACGAUCUUUAGCGGGUCUGAGAGGACGAUCCGCCACAUUGGGACUGAGACACGGCCCAGACUCCUACGGGAGGCAGCAGUGGGGAAUAUUGGACAAUGGGCGCAAGCCUGAUCCAGCCAUACCGCGCGUGUGAAGAAGGCCCUAGGGUUGUAAAGCACUUUAAGUUGGGAAGAAAAGUUAUUGGUUAAUACCCAAUAACCGUGACAUUACCAUCAGAAUAAGGACCGGCUAAUUCCGUGCCAGCAGCCGCGGUAAUACGGAAGGUCCAAGCGUUAAUCGGAAUUACUGGGCGUAAAGCGCGCGUAGGUGGUUUAUUAAGUUGGAUGUGAAAUCCCCGGGCUCAACCUGGGAACUGCAUCCAAAACUGAUUCACUAGAGUACGAUAGAGGGAGGUAGAAUUCACAGUGUAGCGGUGGAAUGCGUAGAUAUUGUGAAGAAUACCAAUGGCGAAGGCAGCCUCCUGGAUCUGUACUGACACUGAGGUGCGAAAGCGUGGGUAGCGAACAGGAUUAGAUACCCUGGUAGUCCACGCCGUAAACGAUGUCAACUAGCUGUUGGAAAACUAUGUUUUUCAGUGGCGCAGCUAACGUAGUAAGUUGACCGCCUGGGGAGUACGGCCGCAAGGCUAAAACUCAAAUGAAUUGACGGGGACCCGCACAAGCGGUGGAGCAUGUGGUUUAAUUCGAUGCAACGCGAAAAACCUUACCUAUACUUGACAUACUUGGAAUGCUUUGUAAUGAAGCAGUGCCUUCGGGAGCCAAGAUACAGGUGCUGCAUGGCUGUCGUCAGCUCGUGUCGUGAGAUGUUCCGUUAAGUCGGAUAACGAGCGCAACCCUUACCCUUAUUUGCCAGCGAUUCGGUCGGGAACUAUAAGGGGACUGCCGGUGAUAAACCGGAGGAAGGUGAGGACGACGUCAAGUCAUCAUGGCCCUUACGUAUAGGGCUACGCACGUGCUACAAUGGAGAAUACAGACGGACGCUAAGCCGCGAGGUGGUGCUAAUCCUAGAAAAUUCUUCGUAGUCCGGAUUGGAGUCUGCAACUCGACUCCAUGAAGUCGGAAUCGCUAGUAAUCGCGAAUCAGCAUGUCGCGGUGAAUACGUUCUCGGGUCU